CCUACGGGAGGCAGCAGUGAGGAAUAUUGCGCAAUGGGCGAAAGCCUGACGCAGCAACGCCGCGUGAGGGAUGAAGGCCUUCGGGUUGUAAACCUCUUUUCUGGGGAACGAGAUCAGGACGGUACCUCGGGAAUAAGUCUCGGCUAACUACGUGCCAGCAGCCGCGGUAAUACGUAGGUGGCUAGCGUUAUCCGGAUUCACUGGGCGUAAAGAGCGCGUAGGCGGUGUGCUAAGUUGGACGUGAAAGCCCCCGGCUUAACCGGGGGAGGGCGUCCAAUACUGGUGCACUUGAGGGUGGACGGGGAAAGCGGAAUUCCCGGUGUAGUGGUGAAAUGCGUAGAUAUCGGGAGGAACACCAGUGGCGAAGGCGGCUUCCUAGACCACUCCGGACGCUGAGGCGCGAAAGCGUGGGGAGCGAACGGGAUUAGAUCCCCCUGUAGU
rnacentral:rRNA from 1 species